UACAACAGUCGGAUGCCGCAGGAGCAUUGGGAAUUAUGCUAUUGUUUAUGUGUGUGGGCAAUGUAAUUGGCAUCUUUGUGUCAGGUGUAACAUACGACACCACGGACAGGUACGACAUCGCUUUCUUCACAGGUGGGGCCAUUCUUCUGAUUGCAAUGAUCCUCUGUCUUGUCGUGUAUUUUCUUCAGAAAGCAAAGCAGAAGAAACCUCGUCUGAAUCUCCCUCCAGCGUUUUAUGUCAAGUUUCCAAGGAGUGCUUCCACAGGUGAUCACCGUAAACAGACGGCAGACUCUGUAACGGCCGAUUUGGAUUUGGAUGGCUUGAACGACGACGAUACAGGAGUGAGUAAUCCUGUUUGCACGUUUGUGCUCAGCGGAAUUUCAACCGAUGACAAUGUUGCUGGACAACAGCAAAUUGUUGGUUUGAAGAGAGACCAGCACAGCUCGAGACGCAGAUUUGGGCGUAAAGUUGAGGCUGGUAAAAUGAAAGGUAUAGAGAAUCCAAUGGCAGUCGAUCAUUUUGAUGACGUUAUUGUAAAAGAAGACGAAAACACUGACGUUGACCAAACCUAACUUCUUGUGAAAAUUUUUAAUUUUAGAGUGGCUGUCCAGGGGGAGAUAGGCGGUUGAGAAUGGAAUUUUUUUCCCAAAAUCGGCUGUCCAUUUUUUUCUUUGUAAAAGAUCCUCAACCUCCACAACCUGACACCUUAAAAAAAUUCCAGCAUUCCGGGAGGAACCCCCCCCCCGCUGGAUACGCCUCUGGAGAACAUCGCAGUCCCAAACAGGCCGGACAAUUUCUCAUCAUCCGAUCGUCUUAGUAAACACUUUGCACUUAGACAUUACCAUCUAUAUACCUGGUGUAAGAAAUGUUCCAAAUAACUCUUACGUCUCUCAAUAUCGGCCACAAACUAUUCUCACGUGUAUCGAAGUCACAAGCGAAGAGACGACUCCUUUAAAUCAGUUGUACAAGGACAUUGGACAGUUAAAGACCAAUAAUAUCUUUCAAGAUGCACGGUUUUCAAGUUGUAUCGCUUUUCGUUUUCAAUUUGACAUUUUAAGAGUCUUACAUACUAUUUUAAGUGUCGUUGAAUUUUCCAAAUGGUGGCUAUUUGUAUACUUCAAGUCGAAUAAACUAAAUUGAAACAGGAGAUGCGCCGAUGUUAAUCAAUCCAUAAAAAUGUAUAACCACCAUCAGACCAAUUAAAAGUUAUUUCUCGUCUAUUUUUCAGGAGGAAGGAGGGGGCCAUGUUUUGUGGAUGGGUAGUGGAUGGAUUUUCCUGUGGUCUUGUGGACAUAUUUGUGUCUGAAUAAGCGAUCACCCUUUCUGUCUUUAAAACAGCAUACACAAAACAACAAAAACAAAACAAAAAAUAAAGAAAAUGAAGCGAAUAAUUGAUUUUUACUCGGCCUAUAGGCCUACAGCUUGAGCUAUUUAAGACAAGAGUACCAAAACUUCACGUUAUGUAGAAUUCCUCACUAUUACAUCCGGUAAAAGCUCAUUCUCAAGAAUUCUGUGUUUGGUUGGUCUCAAACAAGUGUGAUUAAGACCGACUUUGUCUUUGCAGUUUUUAAAGACCCGAGCCGAAGGCUCUUUGACACCUACAUAUUGGAUUUCUCAAUAAUAAUAAAAAAAACUUCUACAUGGAUACGUAAUUGAAUUUAACCUGACAAUUGUGAAUUAGAACAAGCCGUUCUUCGAUAAGUUUGGGUAAUUUAUUUUUAACUGGAAGGCACAUCAAAUGGCAACGUUAGAGUAUGCAUGCGUACUUGUACAUUUCAACAACAGGCUUUUUUUAACAGUUUUAACAGGUAAUACGAAAAUGGCUUGAAACGUAACAAUUCAGUUACCCCCAGAUUAGUUCGGUCUUCAAAAUUCAACCACUCUUGGUGGAAUAUUUUAGCUUCUUUGAUCAAAAUAAAUACAUUCCGAAAUUUUUUCCAAUGGUUUUACGUUACAAUUCAGUUAACAAUUUUUGUACCCAACUAUUCUCUUUCCCGUCUUUAACUCAAAAUAAUUACGUAAUUGUGACGUCAGCCAAGGAUCCGAAUGCAAUGCAGUGUAGACGUAGAAAUACAUGUACAUGGAUUUCGUUGAGGGCACGUGGCUGGCUCUUGGGUAUAAACUGUUUAAGGUAAUCAUUUUUGACCCCACUCUACAAUAAUUGUGUAAUACAUGGUUUGUUUGGAAACGUAUGCCACUCUAAGUGGAAUUCGAUUUUCCUCAGCUUUAACAAUUUCCUUUGUUAUGAAUAAGGCUUGUUAUGCUUACUUUGCGAGUUUUCUUUUACGUUCAAUUAUUUUUCUGUGCAAUGUACGUUAAUUUAAGGCACUUACUGUCUGCUGAUAAGUGUCGACAAAUUUUGUGCUUCCAUUUCAUGUUGUCGAAAAUAUCCUCUUUGUAUUGAGGAAAAUUGCAUCCGAUUUUUUGUGAAUUGGAAUUUUUUUUCUCAAGAAAAAUUAAUUUAUUCGUUUGAUUAAAUCUUGUUUACCAAAUACACAAGAUAAUUCCUAAAACAUCAAUUAUAAAUAAAAUGUGGAAAAAGUUAAGAAAUAGUUGAUAUACUUAAAUUGGACGCUUCCCAGACAUUAACAUAUUCAGGACAACAUGUAAAGGGUCAGCAUAGAUGUUGAGUGGGUUUGCUAGUAGGAAUAAAUUUGAAUGGUGUUUUUCAAUUUGGGUUAUUGCCACUUUAACCGCAUUAAAUUUACUUUGUGAAGUUCCAACAUUCUUUUGCUGAAGGCAAAUUAAGUUUACGGUAAGUUGCGUUUUGUGUGUAUGAUGAAUUGUCAUUUGCUCUCUGCUGUUAGAUUUGACUAAUUAAGUGCUUCCAUUUCACUUUCCAAACUAAAUCCCCUUUCGUGUUAAAAAAAAAUUAAAUUGGAGUUGUCUUGAAUUUGAAUUUAUGUUGCCCAUGGUUAACAUUCAAUUUAACAGUUCUUGUAAAACAAAAUAAAUUUUCCAUAAAAAUUCAAUCAGAAAAAUGAUCACAAAAUAGUAAAGAAUUGGUUGAUACUCGACACUGCCAUUAAUCUGUGGAAAUUCUGAAAAUGUGAACAAAAAAGUACAAAAACAGAAAUAGAAAUCUUUUACAUGUUUUGGUAUAUACACAAAGACAUUAUAAUAUUUAAAAACAGAAAUUUCAAAUAAAAAAACAUUUGCGGUUUGGAAAAUUUUCUAAUAGUGACAGUCAUAGUGUAAUCCAUCACGGGGUAUACACAGUAACGUUUGGUCAUUCCUCCUCCUGACAGGAAUAACGAUCUGAGCCCAUUGAAUUAGGAAAUCUAUGAGUUGAUCACAGUUGAAAGUAGAACGACCUUUUCACAACAAAAUUAUAUAUUUUACCUACACUUGCGCAUCAAAGGGCCUUGAGGUAAGAUGGUUGCGUGAUCCACUGAAAAGUACAGGCUACAAACAUUCCCGUCCUUUUUUUUAUCAAAAUCGGGGGGUCCAGGAUUCUUUGGAGGGGGUCUAUUCUUUUCGCCGUAGGUGGCGACGGUAUUUUUCGCCGUUAUUGAAGUCAUUUAAUUUCUGUGUUUUUUUGGUCCCGAACCCAACACACAAAUAAGACCCCUAUGGGUUCAUGAGAAGACCUCCUCUGGAUCUUAGCCUAAAAAAGUCUCCUAGACUAGGCCUAUCUAAAAAACCCUCUUAAAUCGUUUUUGCUAUAAGUCUCUAGGCCUAAUCUAAGCGGGAUUUUUAGUGCCAUGUAAAAAGACUUUACAAUCGUGGUUCUCCCAGUGUGCAUGACAUUGCUAUAUCUAAGGCGGUCUCCUUUGGUGCUGUUUUUAGCAAAAAUGAUUUAAAGGGAUUUCCCGAAGAAAAAAUAAGAAAAGCCACAAAACCUGCGAGAAAAUGAUCAAAAUUGCACCAGGUCUUAAAGGAACUGUGGAACUGAAUCGACUCUCAAUUAACAUUCACUCCACAUGUUGACUACAUUGCUGCCAAAGCAAAUCUUAUAUUGGGUAUGUUUGGUGUCAUCGCGAAAAUUAGGAUCCCAAGAAAAAAAACCAGGUACUUUACUUUUCCGUUGCGGGACAAAGUCUGGAAUUUUACUGUGUGAGUUUAAAUUCCGUAUCUGCAUCUCACGUUGAGUGCGUGGAGUGUAUUCAAACAAAAUUUGACUGUUUCCUUGGGAACAAUGUGGUAAACACGGGAGUAGUGGGUCAACCUUAACUUAAAUCUUUGAAUUCACUGGGGACACAAAGACAAAUUUCUGGGCCCGACUUUUCUCUCUAAAUUUUGUACCUACAUAUGAUUUUUUUUUCAGUAAGGUUUUUCGAUGUGUACCAUUUCCGUGUCAAUGCUGCAAAAUUGGUUUAUUCAACGGUUGACUGCACUAUAUAACUUCAUUUCCUAGUUCAUUUUUCCUAAUUUCAAUAAUAAAUUUUAGUCAGCCCCUUGGGAUUUUCAAAUCUUCUUUCGAGGAAACUUCAACAGAGGCCCAAGUCUAUCCAAAAGAGAACCCAUUAAUGAGGGACUAAGACUGAGGAGUUAGUCUGACCUGAAUGAGCCAGUUUGAUCUUUGUACAUUUAUGUUUAAUGUUUGUUGUUUUAUGCAAUUUUUAAAAGUUUCCAUUGUAACUAAUCUAUUCAUCCAUCCAUUUCUAACGCUUGUGCUAGCUGUUUGGCGAAAUAAAAUAAAUGAAAGUUUAGUCCA